AUGGCCGGCACCACGGUGCUCCCGCCGUCUCUGCUCCCGCGCCGUAGCGCCGCCGCCUCCGCGGACCUGCACUCCUGCUCCUCCCGCGUGCGCGUGAACCCCGCCUUGAUGGCGAACCCCGCGGCUGCCAAGAAGCCAAAGCGCCCCGGAUCCGUGCGCGACGAGCAACCGCCGCCGGCGAAGCGCGUACGCGGUGCCUGCUCUGGGGGCGAGCUCCAUGUCGCCGUCCCCGCCAACAUCAAGAACGGCAGCAAGCUUCCGUCUCCCAGCAGCGGCAAGGAUCCACUCCACUUCUCCGCAAUCAAUAACCAGGUCGCCGAAUCUCCGGCUGCCGCGACGCAAUCGAAGCCGCAGAUGAGCAUGCGCGAACUGAUCGAGAAAGCUCGCCUCACCAUGGCUCGCCUCGACAAGGCUCGCUCUGCCUCCAAAGACGUGGCCAACCGUCGGCAGGAGAUCGAGCGCAGCAGAGCAGAGGCCCGGCGAAAGGUGGAGCAGAUGGCGGACACGGUGCAGUUCAACGACCCCUGGAUCCAUCACUCCGACGUGACCAAGUCCCCUGAGGAGCUUCUCAAAGCAAGACAGCACGCAUGGCGUUAUCAAGCUCACCUCCUCGAGAUGGCUCGUCGACGGGACUUUGCUCAAGCGAUGCAAAUCCACGGAUGA
rnacentral:rRNA from 1 species